GACAGAGGUGCCAAGCGUUAGGCGGAAUCACUGGGCUUAAAGCGUGUGUAGGCGGAUGCCUAAGUACCUUGUGAAAUCCCACGGCUCAACCGUGGAACUGCUGGGUAUACUGGGUGUCUUGGGCCAACUAGGGGUCGCUGGAACAAAUGGUGGAGCGGUGAAAUGCGUAGAUAUCAUUUGGAACGCCAAGGGCGAAAGCAAGCGACUGGGGUUGUGCCGACGCUGAGACACGAAAGCCAGGGGAGCGAACGGG
rnacentral:rRNA from 2 species